GAGUGAUCGAAAGAUGAAAAGCACUUUGAAAAGAGAGUUAAAAAGCACGUGAAAUUGUUGAAAGGGAAGCGCUUGCGACCAGACUCGCCUCCAGGGUUCAGCCGGCAUUCGUGCCGGUGUACUUCCCUGGGGGCGGGCCAGCGUCGGUUUGGGCGGCCGGUCAAAGGCUCCCGGAAUGUAGUGCCCUUCGGGGCACCUUAUAGCCGGGAGUGCAAUGCGGCCAGCCUGGACCGAGGAACGCGCUUCGGCACGGACGCUGGCAUAAUGGUCGCAAACGACCC
rnacentral:rRNA from 1 species